UACGUAGGGGGCAAGCGUUGUCCGGAAUCAUUGGGCGUAAAGAGCGUGUAGGCGGCUCGGUAAGUCCGCUGUGAAAGUCCAGGGCUCAACCCUGGAAUGCCGGUGGAAACUGUCGAGCUAGAGUCCGGAAGAGGCGAGUGGAAUUCCUGGUGUAGCGGUGAAAUGCGCAGAUAUCAGGAGGAACACCAAUAGCGAAGGCAGCUCGCUGGGACGUUACUGACACUGAGGCGCGAAAGCGUGGGGAGCGAACAG
rnacentral:rRNA from 1 species